rnacentral:rRNA from 1 species
CGAACGGGUGAGUAACACGUGAGCAACGUGCCCAAGACUCUGGAAUAACUUCGGGAAACCGGAGCUAAUACUGGAUACGAGACGCGAAGGCAUCUUCAGCGUCUGGAAAGAAUUUCGGUCUUGGAUCGGCUCACGGCCUAUCAGCUUGUUGGUGAGGUAAUGGCUCACCAAGGCGACGACGGGUAGCCGGCCUGAGAGGGUGGCCGGCCACACUGGGACUGAGACACGGCCCAG